AAAUUGCAUUUUUAAAAUAGAUAUUCUUCAAAAAUGGCCUCUUUUUGGAUCUUGUUUCUUUAUCGUUAAGUGGAUAAGAGGCGAUAGUCAUCCAAUGGAAUAUAUCCUUGCAUUGAAUAGAGAAGGAGUACAUUUUCUAGAUACAUUAACUCA